AUUGAACGCUGGCGGCAUGCUUUACACAUGCAAGUCGAACGGUAACAGGCCUUAGGGUGCUGACGAGUGGCGAACGGGUGAGUAAUGCAUCGGAACGUACCCAGAGGUGGGGGAGAACGCAGCGAAAUCUGUGCUAAUACCGCAUGUGAUCUGAGGAUGAAAGCGGGGGACCGAGCAGCAAUGUUUGGCCUCGCGCCUUUGGAGGGGCCGAUGUCGGAUUAGCGAGUUGGUGGGGUAAAGGCCUACCAAGGCGACGAUCCGUAGCUGGUCUGAGAGGACGACCAGCCACACUGGGACUGAGACACGGCCCAGACUCCUACGGGAGGCAGCAGUGGGGAAUUUUGGACAAUGGGCGCAAGCCUGAUCCAGCAAUGCCGCGUGAGGGAAGAAGGCCUUCGGGUUGUAAACCGCUUUUGGCAGGAACGAAACGGUGUCCGCUAAUACCGGGCGCUAAUGACGGUACCUGCAGAAUAAGCACCGGCUAACUACGUG
rnacentral:rRNA from 1 species